CAGCCGCCGCGGUAAUACCGGCGGCCCGAGUGGCGGUCACUAUUAUUGGGCUUAAAGCGUCCGUAGCCGGGUUGGGAAGUCCUCCGGGAAAUCUGGCCGCUUAACGGUCAGAAUGCCGGAGGAUACUCCCAGCCUAGGGAGCGGGAGAGGCCGAGGGGAUUCCCGGAGUAGGGGGGAAAUCCUAUAAUCCCGGGAGGACCACCUGUGGCGAAGGCGCUCGGCUGGAACGCGUCCGACGGUGAGGGACGAAGGCCAGGGGAGCAAACCGGAUUAGAUACCCGGGUAGUCCUGGCUGUAAACGAUGCGGACUUUGUGUCGGACAAGCUAUGAGCUUGUCCGGUGCCGGAGGGAAACCGUUAAGUCCGCCGCCUGGGGAGUACGGCCGCAAGGUUGAAACUUAAAGGAAUUGGCGGG
rnacentral:rRNA from 1 species